AUGUGGACUUGGGAAGCAGCUCUUCUAGAAAACAAGCGCCAGAUAGAGCGUCAGCGGGAGUAUGUCCAGAGGCUCUGGCAACAAGGCCCUCCAGAUGAUAGCAAUAAAUUUGGACUUCCCCUUAACGUAAUUUGCAAACAACUUAUUUCCAUCAACAAUAGCUGCCCAGCUUUGAAAAACAUUUAUCUGCUGGAGUUCCACCCUUCCCUGGGCCUGGCAUCGCUCAUCCCCAGAGCCCUCGAACACCUCCUCCAGGAGGCCCGCCGCACUUACAGACCCACCACAGCCAGCCGCCUCGCCUUGCUGGAGAGACAUGUGCUGCGGCUGGCUCUGGACGUCUGGCUCUCCCCGGCCAAGCCUGAGUCCUGGUACAGCACACAGCUCCAGAAGGAUCUGUUUUCAACUAAAGUGAUGGGAGAUCCCUUUCUUGUGGGGGAGAUAAGCCAGCUUGCACUCAAGUCUGCAGCCGAUGAAGGACAUAACCGAGGCCAAGACUCUCAGGUGCUGCUUCUGGAGACGUUUUCCAAACUUCUGGAACUCUUGACCCUCCGCCACCGGCUGAUAGAAAUGAGUCUGGAGAGUGUACACUUAGCUCGACUCUAUAAGGAAUUGGCAUGUGAGAUGGGUUUUGAAGAGUUCCAUUUGUAUCUGAGGCCUGUUCACUUUGAAUUUGCAUCACACAAGGACAAAGCAGACCACCCACCCCCUGUUUUUAUAACCUCUCUGCUGGAGGACAGUGAUCGUGUAGACAGAUAUUCUCCUACUGCUCUGGUCUUAGCCAUCUCUGAGGUGGAUGAUAACCAAGUUGGCAAAUUUAGUUUUCAUACAAAGGAAGCCAUCCUUAAGCUCUUGUUCCAUUCAGGAGUGGAGAAUAUGCAAGUGACCCUUGCAUGCCAAGCUGUUCAGAAAAACGCUUUGAUGGUGGCUGUCCAGCAGGCGUCCUUCUAUCACGCUUCCCGAGGGGACUGUCUUGCUGAUGUCAAGGAAAUAAGUUCAGAUCUGAGAAAUCAUGGUGGAAUGGGUCCAACCAGAAGAAGAAAUUCUAGAAUUGUGAAUGGCAUAGAGAGCUUCCUGGGAGCCCCAACUCCAAAAGUUCCAGAUACCCUUACUCAUCCUUCAGAAAGAUUCCAGGCUAUCAAAAGGGCUCCAGAGGCUUUCGUGUCUAUUCAAUUAGAAAAGGUGGGGCUGCGGGACAUGAUGCUGAACGCCUUCCUCCUCAGGAAGCAAACUAUGGCUGACAGAAUGAAGAGCCUGGUGAGUGUAGUGAGAAGGUCUCCCUAAAGCUCUCCUCAUCUCUCACAUUUGAGCAAAUAAAAAUUCUUAACUUGGAAUCUGUUGCUUUCGG
rnacentral:lncRNA from 1 species